rnacentral:lncRNA from 1 species
UCGUCGGGAAGAAGUUUCCUCUGAUGAACUUCACGGUUACCUUCUCGGUCGUGAAGCUGCUCUGCUGAAGCGCAAACUCCGAUCCAUUUCCUCUGGACCUACGGAACCGUUUCAUGCUUAUGCAGCCACUCCUCGUUCUUCACAGCACUUUUCUCGCUCACGUGGUUCCAACAACUCUAACUCUCAGCAUCGAGGUUUUCCUCCCACUCGUGG